AUCGGUGCCACGGCCUUUGCAGUCACAGCUGCAGGGGUGGGAGGGAGGGUGCUGAAAGAAGGCCGGGUGUAUAGGAGUCAGUGGUGGCACAAGAACCAACGCUCCCAAGAAGUUAACGGGAAGUUUUGCUGAGACUGUGUAACUUUCCCUUCAAAACCAGAAUGCGGUUAAAACUGAACUUACCCUCGGAUCCUGAUGACAAAUGCCAAUUUGGGUUCUGCAGGUACGUAGAAGUUGCCAGCUUUUCUUGCCAUUCUAGCCAUUCGAAUCUCAGUUCUGUACAUCUGCCUGUAUUCCUUGUGGUAAUGCUUAGCUUUUUCAUAAAUAAG